AUGCCUCAGGCUGCCAAACCGCGACGCACCCCUCUGUCACCGUUCGUCGUCGAGAGCGACUUGCUCCCUUCUCUGAUUAUGAUCUUGCGAUCAUUGCCGGCCUCCGUGUUAGCUUCUCCGAUCAGUCCUCCUCUUCAUCUUCUCCAAUCUCCAAGUGUCUUCAAGAGGUCACAUGGCUGGGCGAAAGGAGAGGCUUCUGAAGUUGACACAGGAUAA